GAAAAUGUACCGGGGCUAAACGUGCCGCCGAAGCUGCGGGAUGACCGUUGGUCAUCGGUAGGGGAGCGUUCUAAGGGCGUUGAAGCCAGACCGGAAGGACUGGUGGAGCGCUUAGAAGUGAGAAUGCCGGUAUGAGUAGCGAAAACAGAGGUGAGAAUCCUCUGCGCCGAAAGCCUAAGGGUUCCUGAGGAAGGUUCGUCCGCUCAGGAUUAGUCGGGACCUAAGCCGAGGCCGAAAGGCGUAGGUGAUGGACAACAGGUUGAGAUUCCUGUACCACCUCCUUCCCGUUUGAGCGAUGGGGGGACGCAGGAGGAUAGGGCGAGCAGGCGGCUGGAAGAGCCUGUCCAAGCCGCAAGGCUGAUCCGUAGGCAAAUCCGCGGAUUGUAAGGCCAAGCGGUGAUGGCGACGGAGUCAUCC
rnacentral:rRNA from 1 species